GACGAACGCUGGCGGCGUGCCUAAUACAUGCAAGUAGAACGCACAGAUUAUACCGUAGCUUGCUACACCAUAGACUGUGAGUUGCGAACGGGUGAGUAACGCGUAGGUAACCUGCCUGGUAGCGGGGGAUAACUAUUGGAAACGAUAGCUAAUACCGCAUAAUAUUGAUUAUUGCAUGAUAAUUGAUUGAAAGAUGCUAUUGCAUCACUACCAGAUGGACCUGCGUUGUAUUAGCUAGUAGGUGGGGUAACGGCUCACCUAGGCGACGAUACAUAGCCGACCUGAGAGGGUGAUCGGCCACACUGGGACUGAGACACGGCCCAGACUCCUACGGGAGGCAGCAGUAGGGAAUCUUCGGCAAUGGACGAAAGUCUGACCGAGCAACGCCGCGUGAGUGAAGAAGGUUUUCGAAUCGUAAAGCUCUGUUGUAAGAGAAGAACGGGUGUGAGAGUGGAAAGUUCACACUGUGACGGUAUCUUACCAGAAAGGGACGGCUAACUACGUG
rnacentral:rRNA from 1 species